rnacentral:rRNA from 1 species
GACGAACGCUGGCGGCGCGCUUAAUACAUGCAAGUCGAACGAGAAGCCAGAGCUUGCUCUGGUGGAAAGUGGCGAACGGGUGAGUAACACGUGAGAAACCUGCCCCAAAGAUUGGGAUAAGCCUUGGAAACGAGGUCUAAUACCAAAUACCUUCUUUUUAACACAUGUUAAAAAGAAGAAAUGCUCCGGCGCUUUGGGAUGGUCUCGCGAUCUAUCAGCUUGUUGGUGAGGUAACGGCUCACCAAGGCAUCGACGGAUAGCUGGUCUGAGAGGAUGUCCAGCCACAUUGGAACUGAGACACGGUCCAAACUCCUACGGGAGGCAGCAGUAGGGAAUCUUGCACAAUGAGGGAACCUUGAUGCAGCGACGCCGCGUGCGGGACGAAGGCCCUAGGGUUGUAAACCGCUUUCAGUAGGGACGAAAGUGACGGUACCUACAGAAGAAGCCCCGGCAACUAUGUGCCAGCAGCCGCGGUAAU